rnacentral:lncRNA from 1 species
GUGGCACGGGCACACCUGGCUCUGCUCCCACCCUGCUCUGGCCCCCAUUCCCAGACAAGUCCCACCGCUGUCAGCGCACCUCUGCAUUGGGCACUCCCUUCUGUCGGCAGAGUCGUGCUCUGUGGUGCAUCUGAAGGUGUCCCUUUUAAUUUUUUAUUUUAACUGCACCUGUCUUGAAUGCGUAGGCUCUACUGCAGGGGCACAGAGGCACAGCGCCCCCUUCAGGGCACCAAGGUGGCCAUUUCUCCCACCCACUACAGGGUCCGCUGCCCGGAAGUCUGGGUGGAGGAGGGAGGAGCAGUGGCUCUCUCUGCUGCUUGCUCUGUCUACACACCUUGGGCCUCUCAGUGGGACCUUCCACACAGCCC